GACGAACGCUGGCGGCGUGCUUAACACAUGCAAGUCGAACGGAAAGGCCCUGCUUUUGUGGGGUGCUCGAGUGGCGAACGGGUGAGUAACACGUGAGUAACCUGCCCUUGACUUUGGGAUAACUUCAGGAAACUGGGGCUAAUACCGGAUAGGAGCUCCUGCUGCACGGUGGGGGUUGGAAAGUUUCGGCGGUUGGGGAUGGACUCGCGGCUUAUCAGCUUGUUGGUGGGGUAGUGGCUUACCAAGGCUUUGACGGGUAGCCGGCCUGAGAGGGUGACCGGCGACAUUGGGACUGAGAUACGGCCCAGACUCCUACGGGAGGCAGCAGUGGAGAAUAUUGCACAAUGGGCGGAAGCCUGAUGCAGCAACGCCGCGUGCGGGAUGACGGCCUUCGGGUUGUAAACCGCUUUCGCCUGUGACGAAGCGUGAGUGACGGUAAUGGGUAAAGAAGCACCGGCUAACUACGUG
rnacentral:rRNA from 1 species